CCCGGAGGAGCCGGCUCCGCUCCACCGCGCCGGCUCCGCGCGGCUCCCGGCCGGCUACGAGGCGCAGUAUGACGAACAGAGUCUGAUGAACCCUCCACUGGACCGGCACGCGCCGCCGCCGCCAGCGCCACCCAGCGGCCAGUACCACCCGCAGGCCGACAGGCGGCAGCACCAGUCCAACGGCGCGGUCCGCCCGGGUCCCGGUGGACAGACGGCCUCUCCUCCGGACUCAGGCGGCGCGGGUCGGCAGCAGCGACCCGGCAGCCGACGCGGACUCCCCAAGAGCGUGUCAGGCCCGCUGUCUGGCGACUACGACUCGCUGUACGACUCUCCGUACGACGCAGUGUACGAACGUCCGAAUGGGUACGACCCGCCGCCGUAUGUUCCGCCAGCUCCACCUCCGGCCGGAGCCGACCAGUGGCGUGGAGCCGACUGGCCUGGUCGCGCCGGUGGGGCCGCCUAUCCGCCCAGCCGACACGACUGGAACCGUGACGGGCGCGGAGGCUCGGCCCGACACCGCGCUGGGAGUCAGCAAGACGUCCGCUCAGCGUUGGGCGCCAGUCAGCAGGACAUGCGAUCAGCGCUAACGGCUAGUCAGCAGGACAUGCGGUCAGCGCUGACAGCCAGCCAGCAGGACAUGCGCUCAGCACUCGCCGCUAGCUACCAAGCCUACCGUCGUGCAUCCGGCGCGUUAGCUGAUGGAGGGGACAGCGAACGUCGCCUGCAGGCGGUCCUUCGCCAGUACCGCAGCCAGCAGGACCUGGGUUCCGCAGGAGAUUCAGCAGGUCGAUACGGUCCCUACCGUCACGCCCGGGGCCUGUCAUACGGCCAGGAGAUGGCCGGGGCGUACUACCAGGAACGGGGCGGAAGGCACGGUUACGUCCCCGAGCACCGGAGGAGCUAUUCGCACCUUCACGAAAGAGAAGUACCCGCGUACGAACGUCGUCAGUCGGUGCAUCACUUCGGCGAGUCUCACGAGAUGGACAGGAGUCUGCCUCGUACCCACGAGCCGCGCGAGAGGGAGCGAAGCCUCCCGCGGAGCUACGAGCCCAGAGAGCGAGACCAGAGCCUCCCGCGGGAUUACCACCAUCGCGAACCGGAUCAUAGCCUUCCGCGAAACUACGAGCACCAUCAGAGUCUGCCGCAAGGAUACAAUCAUGAGGACCAUCACCAGGGCCAACCACGGCACCAUGAACCUUCCUACCAGCCUGGAAGGUCACAGGAGCCUAAUUACCAGUCAAUUCGACCCCACGAGCCUCCCCAACAAUACAACCGACCUCCCGAACCACAACAGUACGCCCGACCACCGGAGCAUUCGCAGUACUCCAGGCCGCCUGAAGCUUCGCAACAGUACACCCGACCGCCCGAGCCUUUGCAGCAGCACAACCGACCGCCUGAACAGCCGUUCGCAAGGCCUCACGAUCCUGUCGCAGAAGCGGUGGUGACCCAGCCGAGUCCGCUGCGCCCCCUCGGUGACCCGAACGGCCGGCACCCGUCGGAGCCGUCUGAUGUUGGCGGUGGGCCGCUGCUCCACCGUCAGGGCGGCGCCUUCCAGCCUUACCAGGCCGAUCACGGACCGGGCAGGGGUGGUGGACAGGAUCGGUGGCGCCAGAACGGUGGGCAGGACGAGCCAGUGUAUGCGGCAGUGAGAAAGGGACCUUCUCGCGGUGCAGGGGGGACGCGACAGGACCAGUCACAGCAGCAGCAGCAGAUGCAACAGGAACACCAACAGCAACAGCAUCAGCAACAGCAUCAGCAUCAGCAUCAGCAUCAGCAGGAAAAAGACUAUUACGAUCACCAACAGAUGCAGCAAGUUGCACAAAGGCAUCAGCAGAUGCAACAGGGCCAGCAUAAUAACCACUACUAUCAGCAACAGCAGCAGGAGCAACAGCAAUAUCAGCAUCAGCAGAAUCACUCUCAACAACAAAAUAAUCACCACCAAAACCAUUACAAUCAGCACCCUCAUCAGCAGCAGCAUUUACCUGUAGACGGUUCUCCGUACUACCGUCCAGAUGGAGAAGCUCCCUCGAACCGACCUCGCUCCCCCGUCCCUCCUGGCGACCGGCAGGCAGCCGAAGAACACUGGAGGACCAACGGACCAUCGGGACCGAACGGUCCGCAUGGCAACGGGUUCGUCCACGGAGCGCAACAUCAUCCGGUUCAGCAAAACGGUCAGCAGUCAACCAAUGAGUCUCAGAACCGAAGCCCGCCCUCUGGUAACGUUCAGGCCAACAGCUUCCAAGGCAACGGGACUGAUCCGGCAAAGCAGCGCUCGCCGCAACAGACGACAUCGCAGUCAGCGCAACAGCCGACGUCAGCAACGGUUGAACAGCUUGAGGAGACACCAGAGCUCACCGCUCGUCCGGCUCCCACCGGAGCGGAGUCUCAGCAGUCUGCCGGGGGACGAACUCCUCAGGAAGAGACUGGCACCACUGCGGGCACCGCCACAGAGGCUGCCACAGAUGGCGCCACAGAGCCGUCCGGGGUGGACACGCGCAGUGUCGGUACUGUGGGACAGCGGGUGGCGGUCUGGGAAAGCAAGGGACCCGCUCCCCCGGCACCGUCCGGGCAGAGCAAUGGGAACGGCAGCAGCACUGGGCAGCAGAGACAACAGACGGGCGGAGCGCAGGAGAGGCCCGAGGAAGACCAGGCUGAGGAGUACCAGACGCAGGAGGCCAUGGGACCGCUCUACGCUCUGUUGGCCCGUGACAGAGGCUCGCUGGAGGUGAAGACCGUUCGCACCGUGAAGCGGGAGUCCCAGCAGCGACAGCGGGAGAAGGGCCGCCAGGCGUCCCUCGAGAACGUGCCCUCGGGCGGUGAGGUUCCUUCUGACGGAGAGGAGGAAGAUCCACUGGUCACGGAUCCGGUGCUCUCGCAGUUCCAACGUGCCCUGUCGCUGCCGCGAGGCUAUGGAGGCCGGCGGGCGAGUGAGCAGGACAGCUCACAGCAGCGGCACCAUAUGCUCAAACGGCUGGUGGAUCAGCGACGUCCUGCCGAGCGGCGGCCCUCCGCCUACGAGCGGCUCUUCGGGUCCACUCCGGAGCUCCGGGCGGCAGCGGGGCCUACGGGGGCGGCGGCAGAGCGACAAGACCUGUCGCUGAGGCGGGUCCCGCGGCGUCAUCACACCCUCUCCGUGGGCAGCAGGCUGGCUGCUCGGAGACUCUCUGAUGCUGCCGCCGCGCACGGAGCAUCUGCGGAGGAGCUCCCCACCGAGCCGCGACCCCCUCUGAGGCAGGCCUCGAGUACACCGGACAUCGUCCGAGCAUCCCGACCCGGCCUGGCCACCAAGUACGACGAGGACACCAUCGACAAGCUGCUGGCCCGGCCGCAGAAGAUCCGUAUCCCAGAGAGAUACGUACCCGAACUGGAGGUGGAGCCGAUGUCUGUUGAGGAGCGUCUGCAGCGGAGCAGGAAGGCCGCCUCCAUCAGGAAGAUGCUGACGCAGAGUACCGGCUUCCUGGACACGAUUGGAUCGCAGACAGGUGAAAAAGAGCCGCGGGUGAGGCCGGGAGUAGCGGCCACGGACAAGUUGCAGAGGGCCCACCUGCUCCAGCUGAAUGAGAUCCUGGCGAGACAGGUCACCGAGCAGAGCAAGCGGGUCGCAGCGGCCAACAGUUCACCGGAGUGAAUGCACCGUCACCCAGCAAACGAGUGACCUUCAGAUAUACACUGCCGUUCAAAGUGGAGGCUAUAGCCAACAUGGAGGCACCGGCGCCGGAGACCGCGGCCGAGUCCCCGCCUCCGGAGCCACUGCCUGUUGUGCAGCAGAGGGAGAGCUGUCUGACCUGAGGUCAGGUCAGGUCACCGGUCUUUAAUGAGUGUAUCAGCUAGAGUGCUGUCUGGUGGGUGGCCAAUGCGCCGUGACCGUAGAGUUGUUUGAAGUGAAGAAGGAUGUGCAUUGUUCAUGAAACAAGUUGUCUGCUGGGACCCGAUUCAGACAUUACUUACGAAAUAAUGAACAGAGUUGAUGUGUAUUGACUUUGUGACGUGCUUCAGUGUUGCACCCGUUACGAUAGACGUUUAA
rnacentral:misc_RNA from 1 species